GUGAAACUGCAAACUCAAUUGAACCACCAGAAAAGAGUUGUGGCUCUCAAGAAUUUGGUAAGCUAUGUGGUUUGAACACAUGUUUUUCAUGCAAUAGCACAACUCGCAAAUUGUUCGAGGGACCAUUCAGAUACCAUGCCGAACAACUAUGAGAGGAAGUUAUCCACUCAACGGCACAUAUUUUCAAGUUAAUGAGGUGUUCACUGACAAUGAAUCUAGCAUUAACCCAAUUGACAUUCCGAGGGCUUCGAUAUGGAAUUUGCCAAGAUGCACAAUAUUCUUUGGGACCUCUAUUCCAACAAUAUUUAGAGGUCUAUCAACAUAAAGCAUUCAAUACUGCUUUUGGAGAGUCCGACGACCCGACCGAAUCCGACUGCAACCCGACCACAUUUCGGUCAGAGCCCGACAAGUGGUUCGGUCGGUUUCAGGUGCAAUUUUCAAAAUCCGACAAACAGUAAGGUCGGGUCCAACCCGACCCAAAUCCAACCAAACCCGACCCGUGGAUAGCCCUAAUUAUAUAGAUGGCUUCAAGUUGAAAAUUUCAGUCAUUUGAGGAUAAAGGAAUUGUAAUAUUACCAUAUCCCUGGAAAGGUAAAUUUUAAUGUCUUGUUUUAAGGAAUUUUGUUGAUAUCGUGCAUCUUUUGGAAAAUUGUUAAGAGUUGAAUGUUUGCAGAAGUUUUUUUUGGGCUUGUCAUUGAAGAAUUAAAACAUUUCAAUAGCAAAAUAAAGGUUCCUUUUGCGCCUUGAAUAAGAUAGAGGUACCAAAUUCCUUCAAUUUGUUCAAUUCAAAUUCCAUAAAAUCCGUGGUUCAAUUCAAUAACCUCUUGCUAUUUCUCUACUAUCAUCACAACGAAAACAAAAAAGACUUCUCAACUACAAAAUUCAUCCAAUGAGCAUGUGGAAACGUGCUAAGCAUUGCACUAGUAUAUGUAAAUUAUCUCAUAUCAAUGUACGGAACUUGAAUCCUUUACUUAAGAAUCUUUUAACAUAUUUACAUAUAUUUUUUAAUAUGCCAACAACAAAAACAAGCAUCAUAAGCAAUAAAAUGGAUUUGUAAAUUAUUGCAUGUCCAUGUGCUGAAGACAUUACCAGCCAUUAAAACCAAAGGGCACGUAGACUUGUGAAGAACGUUGCCUUGCCCCUAGUACUAAGUAAAGGACGGGUGAUUUUAUUUAACGAUGUAAAGUUUCCGCAAGUUUCGACAAAUUACGGGUUCAAUUUGCACAGAUUUGUUAUUUCAAGUUUGUAUUUUCUUUGUUUUCACUUCACUUAGAUUUUUUUUGGUUGACAUGGACUCCAAGCAGUGAUUUGGUAUUUAUUUUGGUGUUCUGGAUCUUCUGCCCUUUUCGUGGCUUUGAAGAGGUUGGAGGUUAAUUGCUGUUGUGGCGCCGCAUCGAGGCACUGGUCAUGUCUCCCAUCCACAGUCAAGGAUAUGAUUUUUCCACUAAUGGAAACUGUAUAUUGGUGCUUGCCUGCCACACAACAUUUGCAGUUGGAUAGUUUACUUAAGCUUGGUUUUCAUGGCAAGAUUCCAUGUUUGGCUGUUCGGACAUAAAUUGCUGUAUGCCAAGGCUUCUUUAUCUCCACUAUAUACAACUCCUGAGGACAUAUGUUGAGUUAUUUGUUGAAUAUCUUCAUGAGGUUUAGAUUAUUACUAGAAAAUAAAUAAAAGGGUGCCGUCCUGGAUAUUAUUUGUUUUCUUGUUGAGGUCCUCUUGCAUUUGGAAGUUUACAGAGGAAAGUGCGGUAGUUUUACAUCUACGCUGGAUGAGGUAGUGAUGCUCAGAGAAGGUCGCUGGUCGCACAUUUGCAUGGCGUUGACAGUUUUUAGUCUCUCGCUCAAUGGCAACUCUUUCUCAUGCAGGUUCUUUUGGGAUUCUCUAUUCUUGUUGGUGCUAAUGCUUGGGAGGAUCUACUGGAUUGGGAUCGAGAAGCCAUGAAGCUCAAAAGGAUCAAUGCAACUAGAUUAAGACAGUGGUGGACUAACAAUGUAGCUAUAGUCUUGAACAUCUUUCAUAAUUGUUUAGUUUCAUACUUAAAUUUUGAUUUAGUGUUCUCAAACGUAAUCAGAUUGUUAUGCAUGCUCAGACAA